AUACGUAGGGUGCGAGCGUUGUCCGGAAUUACUGGGCGUAAGGAGCUCGUAGGUGGUUUGUCGCGUCGUCUGUGAAAUUCCGGGGCUUAACUCCGGGCGUGCAGGCGAUACGGGCAUAACUUGAGUACUGUAGGGGAGACUGGAAUUCCUGGUGUAGCGGUGAAAUGCGCAGAUAUCAGGAGGAACACCGGUGGCGAAGGCGGGUCUCUGGGCAGUAACUGACGCUGAGGAGCGAAAGCAUGGGUAGCGAACAGGAUUAGAUACCCUGGUAGGCCAUGUCGUAAACGGUGGGCGCUAGGUGUAGGGGUCUUCCACGACUUCUGUGCCGUAGCUAACGCAUUAAGCGCCCCGCCUGGGGAGUACGGCCGCAAGGCUAAAACUCAAAGGAAUUGACGGG
rnacentral:rRNA from 1 species